rfam:Felis catus isolate Cinnamon breed Abyssinian chromosome A1, whole genome shotgun sequence.
GCCUGGGUGGCUCAGUCGGUGAAGCGUCUGACUUCAGCUCAGGUCAUGAUCUCACGGUCCAUGAGUUCAAGCCCCACAUCAGGCU